CCUACGGGAGGCAGCAGUGGGGAAUAUUGCACAAUGGGGGAAACCCUGAUGCAGCGACGCCGCGUGAGUGAAGAAGUAUUUCGGUACGUAAAGCUCUAUCAGCAGGGAAGAAAAUGACGGUACCUGACUAAGAAGCCCCGGCUAACUACGUGCCAGCAGCCGCGGUAAUACGUAGGGGGCAAGCGUUAUCCGGAUUUACUGGGUGUAAAGGGAGCGUAGACGGCAGCGCAAGUCUGGAGUGAAAUCCCAUGGCUUAACCAUGGAACUGCUUUGGAAACUGUGCAGCUAGAGUGCAGGAGAGGUAAGCGGAAUUCCUAGUGUAGCGGUGAAAUGCGUAGAUAUUAGGAGGAACACCAGUGGCGAAGGCGGCUUACUGGACUGUAACUGACGUUGAGGCUCGAAAGCGUGGGGAGCAAACAGGAUUAGAUACCCCGAUAGUC
rnacentral:rRNA from 1 species